GCAAAACGCGAAGAACCUUACCAGGGCUUGACAUCCCUCUGAUCCUCCUAGAGAUAGGAGCUCCCUUCGGGGCAGAGGUGACAGGUGGUGCAUGGUUGUCGUCAGCUCGUGUCGUGAGAUGUUGGGUUAAGUCCCGCAACGAGCGCAACCCUUAUCUUUAGUUGCCAGCAUUUAGUUGGGCACUCUAGAGAGACUGCCGUUGACAAGACGGAGGAAGGUGGGGAUGACGUCAAAUCAUCAUGCCCCUUAUGUCCUGGGCUACACACGUGCUACAAUGGAUGGAACAACGGGCAGCUAACUCGCGAGAGUACGCAAAUCCCUUAAAACCAUUCUCAGUUCGGAUUGCAGGCUGCAACUCGCCUGCAUGAAGCCGGAAUCGCUAGUAAUCGCGGAUCAGCAUGCCGCGGUGAAUACGUUCCCGGGUCUUGUACACACCG
rnacentral:rRNA from 1 species